rfam:Streptomyces sp. MP131-18 scaf_01, whole genome shotgun sequence.
GGGGCUAUAGCUCAGAUGGUUAGAGCGCAUCCCUGAUAAGGAUGAGGCCACAGGUUCAAGUCCUGUUAGCCCCA